rnacentral:misc_RNA from 1 species
GGGCGGCGGCAAUAUGUACUUUCGCGAGCGUCCAGGCGCGUUCAGCCGGCCCGCUUGAUACUGCUGAAUAUGGAAAGCCUAACCCGCAGCCGAGACCUAUCGAUUCCGACUCAGAGUCGACAAGGGAGGCAGAGGUCUCCCAGAAGUCCCUACCUGCGAAGUGGUGCCUGAUUUUCUCAGUCUUUCUGCCUUUCGCCGCGGGUUACUACCUUGCCUACCUGUUUAGGACGAUCAAUGCCGCGAUAUCGCCGGCAUUGGCCUCCGACUUCGGGAUUGACGCCGCAGAGAUCGGGCUGCUCGCGUC